CACAGAAUCCUGUCAGGACAGAGCCCGACUCAGGGCUCGAACUCAUGAGCUGUGAGAUCAUGACCUGAGCCAAAGUCAGAUACUUAACCGACUGAGCCACUCAGGCACCCCAAAGAGGUUAGGAAUUGUGACACACAGACACCCUAGCUCCUCACCCAGGGAUUGCUGUCCCCCGGGAUUCCUUUGGGGCCCGGGAGCUGUCAUCCUGAGUGAUCACCACCUACCCAGGUUGAGGUGGUAUUGCUUUAGUGGGUCCCAGGUGAUGGUCCUUGGGUACACUAAGAGCAUUUCUGGAAGAGCUAAUGUAAAAGCAACCCCUUCCUUUCCACAAAGGCGAGUCUGGGCCACCCUCAACAGACCAAGCAGGGGACCCGGACUUACAAUUCAUGGGUGGGGAGAGAGAGAGAAGAUAAAAGCAGAGAUGUGCUUGAAGAAAAUAGGUAGUAGGGACUACAGGGCGGUUUUAAACCAGAGGCUCCAUGCACAGCAGGUUGCAGAGCAAAUAGUGUCUUAAUCCCCUGUGGGAAGGCCUGAGAUCGCACAGUCCCUGCAGCUUGUACCUCCAGGUGUUCUCACCCAAAGGCAUCUUGGUCGUGAACACCUCCCCUGAACCUUUGCCAACACCCCGUGAAUGGUGGUCCCUUUCCUGAGGCCUUUGGUGCUCCACCAGAAGAACGGUGGGCACAGUGGCUAUUCCCUUAUGCUUGAGAGAUCAUUUGAGGGUCUCCCCGGUGUCACCAGCUGGUCAUUCACUGAGUGUAUUUGUGUGCUCCUGUGGCUGGGGCCAGACUGCUGAGGUGAGGCUGAUGGGGCGAGGGAGGAGGUGGCCUCCUUGGGGUUCGCUCUUUGUGGGGCUCUUCCCCUUGUGCUGCCUUGGGCUGGUCGAAGCUGCAACCUUUGCAGAGAGCUUGUGGCUGGGUGAAAGCAUCUUGAAAUGGGCUUCAUUUCCCGAUUGAAAAGGAGAUAAAUGACAUAGACUGUUUCUCCUGUUCUGGUGUACCUCCCGCCUCUGUACGUACAGAAAUAUUUAACUCCAAAUGUCUGGGGAUGUAACCCUGUUCUAAUUUGGAAAGGUGAUGCUGGCUACUUCUGAAAGGCGCCCCUUCACCUUCAUACAGGUGAUGUAUGAAUAAGGGCUAGAUUAUGCUACUGAGUGCAGAUAUUCAGCUUACACAUGUUAAGGCUUUUGGCUAAAGGGGUUUAUGUGGGGGCGGCAUUUUGGGGAAUGAAUGAGGCCUGGAGGGUCGUCAUGACCUGGCAGGUCCCCAUGUAAGCGCAGCCUUGAGUCCCCAGCCUCCUUCAUGUAGGGUUCCCGGCAGCCUCAGGGAUGAAGACUGUUCACCCGGAAUGUGUUCUUCUGACUCUUAGGGGGGACAGUAGGAGGGCACCCCCAGGGCUGCCUCUCUGGUGGGGUCACCACUGUCACCCUGAGGGGACUGAUGAGGGUGACUUGGCCUUUGUCAGGAGUGCCGAGGAACAGCGGAGAUCAGGUGCUCGGUACUGAGACAGUUCCAUGCCUUUGCAAACAGAACACUUCAAAAAGGAUGCCGCCUCCGCCCCUGGCCCAGUGAAAGGUGGCGGAAGGAAGCGGUGGCUGACAGCUGAGUUAAACAAACUUGAAGGACCCAGAGCCAGCAUCAACGGCUGUGAGAACGAAGCAGCACUUAACAACAGACUUAGAUCUCUCUGUGGUUACAAAGGACUCUGGGAAUGAGUCACUGGGCUGAGGAAGUUUCAAAUCUCAGCAGAGCUUCCAGGUUAAAACUGGGAUGUGAUGUUGACAAAACAUUUCAGUUAAGAAAGUUUUUGUUGUUGUUGUUGUUGGUUUUUUUGUUUUUUUAUUUUGGUGAAACUUUGUCCCAAGGGUUAUCGUUUUAUGUUUUAAUACAAAAGUACUUGAUUCUCAUUUGAGGAUCCUUGGCUUUCAGAGUCUCUGUCCCAUUUCAUCACCUGGUAGAACCAGUUGCCACUCAGGGCAUUCUGGAGGUUUGCACAGGUCCAGAGGCUCAUGCUGCCACCAGCCAGUCCCUGCCUGCCUGCAACUUUGCGGGAGACCACAGUGGUCCUUAGGUGCUCCCGUGUGGUUUGUCCAUGGGCGGGGGCGGGGGCAGGUUAGGGUACGAGCCAAGAAAAACUAAUAGCCCUUUCAAUUUUUAAUAAAACGUCUCUCCCACCCUUUGUUUCUCCCUUCACUCUUCCCUGAAAGAACAGACUAACUUUUUAGGCACAUCUGGACACUUUUUGUAAAGCUCUUACCCUGAAUUCCCAGAAGGAAUGUAUUGGCUCCCAUUUUUCUAAGCAAAAACUGAAAUGACUCCUUUGUUUAUAAGUACUGUGCUUGCAUAUUUUAAUAAAACUGUAAAGAAAGAAAUUGCACUGGUUUGAGGGUCCUUAGCUAGGCCAACACAAUCUCCUUUAUGCUUCUCUUGAAGUCUUUGAGAGGUGCUCAAAGUUUAUGGUUUGGGGGGAGUUUAUUUUUGGUGGGAGUGGGGAAGGGAGGUGUAGGGGAUCCAUAUGUCCCUUUUGAUAAUACUUUUUCUCCUUCCUGUAGCCUUUUUGGGGCCAGGAGGCAGAGGUGUUCAUAGCCUUGGUCCUUCUGUUCUGCCCUCUCUACCCAUGCGUUGCCCUUAUGAUGAACACCAUAUAGAUACAAUCGGCUUAUAAUGUUCCAGAUCUAAGAGCCCAGAGGUCUUGCAAUGGAUUCUAUCUUCCCUUUAUCAGAUAGUAUUUGUUUUCUUCUAAAAGAAGGAAAUCUUCUAGAAGCUUAUUGCUGCUGAGAAAAUAAGGCUAAUCUUUCAUUAAUAUUAGUCUCCUAGUUGUUGGCAUGGGGUUUUUCUAGUGUCAGGAGAAUUUCAAAAGAGCUUAAAUGUAUGUCAGACUUAAACACAAGAUAUAAGAGGCGUUUGCCAUGUUGAGGAACGUGUAAGAUGAUGUCACUCUUUUCAAACUAGUGAUUGCAGGAGUUCUUUUUUAUGCCUUUAAAAAUCAGGUUUAUGAAAUGAAGUUGUACCUUCAGAAGCCUGUAGUGUAUGCAUGUAUGUAUGUAUGUGUGUAGUGUAGUAUGGUUAAGUUAUGAGGAUUAGGGCUUUGUUACUGCCCCAAAAAUGUUCAUUAGUGAUAAGCAUUAACCAGUGUGGUAGCUACUGCUUCUUAGAAUAUGAUUUUCUCUUGGCCUGUCCUGAGUGUCUGGAAACAGUAUAAUCCUCUUCUCAGAGAUGAAUUAAAUUUCAGUGAAGACCACACUUUGGCUUUAUUUCUUUACUUUUGGGGAAGAAGGUUGUUAGCCUCAGAAGCCAAAAUUGAUCUAUGAAACCUGUCGUUGCUGUUGGAUGUGCACAUGUCAAAUGGCCACAAGUGUUGAGUAAUGUCCAAACAGAAGUCUGAAAAUUAAUAUUUGUAUUGGUGCCUUUGUGCAGAAAUUUAUCAUUUUCAUCAACUCAACUGAAAUUGGUAAUUUUGAGUCAUACUGAUAAUGUUCUAACUUAUCUUUCCAUCUUUUUUUUUUUCCUUUGGGUUCUAGGAAAUUGUCAGUGAGUCAGAAUGCUAGCUAUUAUUAAACCAGUUGGGAGUAUUUGGUUAAGGAAAAUGAUCUGAUUUAGAAUGAGUGGUAAAUUCGGUAUUGGUUGCCUCUAAAUUUUUCAGAUAGCAUUGUUUCAAAACCUGCAAAAAUGUCUUCUACAUUUAACAGUGGUUCAGACUAUAAAGCACUGAGCAGAUCUUGGGAGGCAUGGUGACUUGGUGUCCCGUGUUCUUCUCCCUCACAUGAGAGUUUGGAGGCUUGUCCUGGCAGGAUCUUGAGUCUGAAGGUAGCUUUGCCUGCAUAGUAACUUUUACCUGCACACAAAAGCCUGACAGUGACGGUCUUUCAGUACCUUUUCCCACUGCUGUCAUCACUUGUUUUCUUCUAAGUUUUCAAACAUAUAAAAAGAUUUUAUUUAGAUGGACUUUUAAAAUAUGCUUUCUUUUAUAGGAAACCAGGGGAUGAGUCUGAAUAGCAGCCAAAGACCUGGGAAUUGAUAUGGAGGAGUGAUUCUAAAUGAUCCAUCAAUAUGAUGAUUUUCUCAGGGAUUUGUAUCAUCAGCAAGGUGGUUUUCAUGUUGAAAAUAUCCAUCUUGACAUUCUUUUACAUGUAACCUAUUUGAUAUUCUUUAAUUCUGUUUCAUUUUUCACUGCCUGAUAGCUUUUCCUGGCUCUUCUACUUGGCCACCUUCACUUUUUCUAUCUUCUUUUCCUCUUCAUGUGCUCUAACUGGGUAGUCCCACAAAGCCCAGUUCCUGAUCCUUUGCUUUUCUUUACUCCUCCUAUUAAUUAGCCCACGUGUCCUUAAGUUUCUGUGACGUGACUACAUGCCUGACUUCCUGUCUCUGAAUCCCACAUUUCCAAAAAACAAAAUAUGGUGUUAGAAGAUACUCUCUAGUCACCUCCGUUAAGUUCUUCUCUACAUCCUCCUUAAAAAAAGAAAAGUUCUCUUUUGCAGUAUUCUCUUUCUUGCUGCAAAAACCACUACUCUCCCAAGUUCCCAAAAUAGGUACCUCAAGGUACCUUGGAAUAUUUCAUCAUCACCUCUGUAUCCCAUUUGUCCCAAAGUCCCACCAUUUUUUCUUAAAAAUGCCCCUCAAGCAUGUCCUCUGUCAUCUUCCCACCAUUGCUGGCUGUACCCACCUCACGUCUGGAUGUCUGCAGCAGCUGCCUCGCAAGCCUACCCACCUCAGCUCCAACUGACCACUCUCCUAGUUUUUCCUGCAGAUGUGCUACAGCAUUAUUGUAUUUGUGUUACUUUCCUGCUCAGAAUCCUGCUAAAAAAUGUGGCGAAAUAGACACAACAUAAAAUGUACCAUUUUAACCAUUUUUAAGUAUUAAUUCAGUGGCGUUAAGUACAUAUACAUAGUUAGGCAACCAUCACCACCAUCCAUCUCCAGAAUUUGAUUUUCCCAAACUGCAGCUCUGUGCCCAUUAAAGAGUUACUCCGCCCUGAA